rnacentral:rRNA from 1 species
ACAUGCAAGUCGAGCGGUAAGUGCUCUUCGGAGUGUACACGAGCGGCGGACGGCAGAGUAACGCGUAGGAACGUACCCCAAAGUGAGGGAUAAGCUCGGGAAACCGAGUCUAAUACCGCAUAUUCUCCUCGGAGCAAAGCUACGGCGCUUUGGGAGCGGCCUGCGUAUGAUUAGCUUGUUGGUGAGGUAAUAGCUCACCAAGGCGACGAUCAUUAGCUGGUCUGAGAGGAUGAUCAGCCUGACUGGGACUGAGAACGGCCCAGACUCCUACGGGGGGCAGCAGUAGGGAAUUUUCCACAAUGGGCGAAAGCCUGAUGGAGCAACGCCGCGUGCAGGAGGAAGGCCUUCGGGUUGUAAACUGCUUUUAUCUGUGACGAUUAUGACGGUAGCAGAAGAAUAAGGAUCGGCUAACUCCGUGCCAGCAGCCGCGGUCAUACGGAGGAUCCAAGCGUUAUCCGGAAUUACUGGGCGUAAAGAGUUGCGUAGGUGGCAUAGAAAGCGAAUAGUGAAAGGCUACGGCUCAACCGUAGAUACAUUAUUCGAACUCCUAAGCUUGAGCAUGAGAGAGGUAGAUGGAAUUUCUAGUGUAGGAGUGAAAUCCGUAGAUAUUAGAAGGAACACCGAUGGCGUAGGCAGUCUACUGGCUCAUUGCUGACACUAAGGCACGAAAGCGUGGGGAGCGAACGGGAUUAGAUACCCCGGUAGUCCACGCCGUAAACUAUGCUUGCUAGCUGUUAUCAGUAUCGACCCUGGUAGUAGCGAAGCUAACGCGUUAAGCAAGCCGCCUGUGGAGUACGAGCGCAAGCUUAAAACAUAAAGGAAUUGACGGGGACCCGCACAAGCGGUGGAGCGUGUUGUUUAAUUCGAUGGUAAGCGAAGAACCUUACCAGGGUUUGACAUCUUGGGAAUUUCCCCGAAAGGAGAGAGUGCCUUCGGGAAUCCAAUGACAGGUGAUGCAUGGCCGUCUUCAGCUCGUGUCGUGGGAUGUUUGGUUAAGUCCAUUAACGAGCGCAACCCUUAUAGUCAGUUGAAUUUUUCUGGCUAGACUGCCCCGGUAACGGGGAGGAAGGAGGGGAUGAUGUCAGGUCAGUAUUUCCCUUACACCCUGGGCUACAAACACGCUACAAUGGCCGGUACAAAGGGCAGCUAAGUCGCGAGGCGGAGCAAAUCCCAUCAAAGCCGGUCUCAGUUCGGAUAGCAGGCUGAACUCGCCUGCUUGAAGCUGGAAUCGCUAGUAACGCUGAGUCAGCAC